UGGGGAAUAUUGCACAAUGGGCGCAAGCCUGAUGCAGCAACGCCGCGUGAGGGAUGACGGCCUUCGGGUUGUAAACCUCUUUUAGUAGGGAAGAAGCGAAAGUGACGGUACCUGCAGAAAAAGCACCGGCUAACUACGUGCCAGCAGCCGCGGUAAUACGUAGGGUGCGAGCGUUGUCCGGAAUUAUUGGGCGUAAAGAGCUCGUAGGCGGUCUGUCGCGUCUGCUGUGAAAACCCGAGGCUCAACCUCGGGCCUGCAGUGGGUACGGGCAGACUAGAGUGCGGUAGGGGAGAAUGGAAUUCCUGGUGUAGCGGUGGAAUGCGCAGAUAUCAGGAGGAACACCGAUGGCGAAGGCAGUUCUCUGGGCCGUAACUGACGCUGAGGAGCGAAAGCGUGGGGAGCGAACAGGAUUAGAUACCCUGGUAGUCCACGCCGUAAAACGUUGGGCGCUAGAUGUGGGGACCAUUCCACGGUUUCCGUGUCGCAGCUAACGCAUUAAGCGCCCCGCCUGGGGAGUACGGCCGCAAGGCUAAAACUCAAAGGAAUUG
rnacentral:rRNA from 1 species